UCGCCUACAUGAAGCCGGAGUUGCUAGUAAUCGCGAAUCAGCAUGUCGCGGUGAAUACGUUCCCGGGCCUUGUACACACCGCCCGUCACACCAUGAGAGUUGGUAACACCCGAAGUCCGUGAGGUAACCGUAAGGAGCCAGCGGCCGAAGGUGGGAUUGAUGAUUGGGGUGAAGUCGUAACAAGGUAGCCGUAGGAGAACCUGCGGCUGGAUCACCUCCUUUCUAGGGAG
rnacentral:rRNA from 1 species